CACACACAAAGCAGGUAGAGCCCCUCACUGUCCACACAGUAUAUCACAGUCUGACCCUUAUAGACUCACACACACACACACAGCAGGUAGAGCCCCUCACUGUCCACACAGUAUAUCACAGUGUGACCCUUAUAGACUCACACACACACACACACAGAGUAUAUCACAGUCUGACCCUUAUAGACUCACACACACACACACACACGCACACACACACACACACACACACACACACCACACACACAAAGCAGGUAGAGCCCCUCACUGUCCACACAGUAUAUCACAGUCUGACCCUUAUAGACUCACACACACACACACACACACACACACACACACACACCACACACACAAAGCAGGUAGAGCCCCUCACUGUCCAUACAGUAUAUCACAGUCUGACCCUUACAGAGACACACACACACACACAGAGUAUAUCAC